GAUAAACGCUGGCGGCGUGCCUAAUACAUGCAAGUCGAGCGAGUUAUUGUUUUAAUUUAUUAAAACAAUUUCUAGCGGCGGACGGGUGAGUAACACGUGGGUAACCUACCCUUAAGAUUGGGAUAACAUCGGGAAACCGAUGCUAAUACCGAAUAGGAGUUAAAUAAGCAUUUAAUUAACUGGAAAGUUAGCGCAAGCUAACACUUAAGGAUGGACCUGCGGUGCAUUAGCUAGUUGGUAAGGUAACGGCUUACCAAGGCGACGAUGCAUAGCCGGCCAGAGAGGGUGAACGGCCACACUGGGACUGAGACACGGCCCAGACUCCUACGGGAUGCAGCAGUAGGGAAUCUUCGGCAAUGGACGAAAGUCUGACCGGGCAACGCCGCGUGAGUGAAGAAGGUUUUCGGAUCGUAAAGCUCUGUUGUAGGGGAGGAAAAGCUAAUAGAAGAAUAAGCUAUUAGAGUGACGGCACCCUAUUAGAAAGCCACGGCUAACUACGUGCCAGCAGCCGGCGGUAA
rnacentral:rRNA from 1 species